UACAGAGGGUGCAAGCGUUGUUCGGAAUCACUGGGCUUAAAGGGCGCGUAGGCGGGUGCUCAAGUCCGGGGUGAAAUCCUCCAGCUCAACUGGAGAACUGCCUCGGAUACUGGGUGCCUCGAGGGUGGUAGGGGUAUGCGGAACUAUCGGUGGAGCGGUGAAAUGCGUUGAUAUCGGGAGGAACACCAGUGGCGAAGGCGACUACCUGGCCUGUUCUUGACGCUGAGGCGCGAAAGCUAGGGGAGCAAACGGG
rnacentral:rRNA from 1 species